CAUCUACACCUGUUUCCAAAAGCUCCAUUAUUUUUUCAACUGUGAAAAAGAUUUGGGCAUCUUGGGUCAAGACAGGAGACAUCAUGAUUCCCCCAUUAAGUGAGAGAUGGCAUUUUCAAACACAAAGUCACCACACUGUCUGAUCUUUGCCAAUACAAGGUUGCCAACAAGAUGUCAAGAGAGAAGGAAAAUCUACAAUGAAACUGUGAAGGAAAAAAAAAACCCUAAGGUGUUAUAAAAGUACAUUGUAACUGCAGUGCAACACAACCCAGAGUAGCCUCCAUGGACCGCCCUGCGCUGUGCUGAGAAGAGUGCCACUCAACACCUGGAGGGUUCGCGUCAAUUCUUUCCUUCUAGAAUUCCCCAGGUUUAUCUACACAAGCCUGCACCCCACCCCACCCCCGCUCCUCGGAG
rnacentral:lncRNA from 1 species